GCCGCAGUGGCCUAGCCUGGUAGGGCGCAAGACUCAUAAUCUUGAAGUCGAGGGUUCGAAGCCCUCCUGCGGCACCA
rnacentral:tRNA from 1 species